rnacentral:rRNA from 1 species
UACAGAGGGUGCGAGCGUUAAUCGGAAUUACUGGGCGUAAAGCGUGCGUAGACGGUUAUUUAAGUCUGCUGUGAAAGCCCCGGGCUCAACCUGGGAAUGGCAAUGGAUACUGGCGAGCUAGAGUGUGUCAGAGGAUGGUGGAAUUCCCGGUGUAGCGGUGAAAUGCGUAGAGAUCGGGAGGAACAUCAGUGGCGAAGGCGGCCAUCUGGGGACAACACUGACGCUGAGGCACGAAAGCGUGGGGAGCAAACAGG